rnacentral:lncRNA from 1 species
AUGAGCCUUGACUGCAAGACACUGACGCAACACAGUCGAUCGAUGAAAUGCCUGGCUAGUCUUAAGCAUACCGUUCCCUCUGGCUGGAAUGCCCUUCCUCUUCUCUCCGCAGCCGUCCCACAGAGGCCACCUCCUCCAAGAAGUCUUCCCUGGGUAUACAGCCCUGGUGACCUCGCUGGACGGGGGUACCUUUGGAUCUCCUUUCUUCUUUUGGGAAGACCCUUCCUCCGGCCUCUGAAGCAACACCAGCUAGCCCUUCCUGAGGCCUACUUCCUGACGGGCGCUGGCAAGAACCAAGGGCUCUGAACCAGCUCUGCUUUCUCCAAUGGCUCCGGGAGGACGCUUUUUAAUUAACUCUAUCUUCAGGUGAGGGAAAUGAGGGGGCAAAGGGGGGCUGGGGGUGGGGUUUGAGGUAAACUGCUCAA